CAAUGUGGUACUUGCUUUAGUAAUUUCAAUCUCUCUGUCACUGUAGACUUUAUUGGUAGGGAUUGCACCCAAUCUCUCUCUGGUAAUCCAUCUUGCUUGUAUAAAUGUGGUACAAUUUCUGCUGUUGGUUUUGAUUUUGGUGAUGAAGAGGGUGUUGAUGAUGUUUUGGAGUCUGUGUUGGGAGAUCGUUGUUCGGGUUUUGGCGGGAAAGUGUAUAGCGUGGUGGUGGUGAAUCGGGAUGAUGUUAAGGGGGUAAGGACGGUGGUAGGGAAGUAUCGGCAUUCAUGGAUUGUGGGGGGGAAGAGGGUGUUGAUGAUGUUUUGGAGUCNGAGGCAAUGGUGGAGAGAGUGGCAGAGAUAUUUGUGAAGGUGUUUGCCAAUGGAGGCAGGGAGGAAGGAUUGAUUCCUGGGGAGUUUAUGCCCGUAGGUGCUGAUGGAAGGGUUGUUCUAUCCUUUAAUUUGCUCAAUGCAAAUCCACGUGAUUGGAUUUAUGAUUGGGAUUUUCAGACAAUAGAUGAGACUUUGUUGGCCCCUGUGAUUGAAGCAUUAGGACCUAUAGCCAACAUAAGUGUGGAAAGCCAGGUUCUGUACCAUACACCAAAGUCCUCAUUUUCUUCCUGGGAUGAAAAGUUGGGCAGCUAUAUCUUUAGUGUGAACGAUCUUCCUUUCUUUGUGAACUCAAAUGAGUGGCACUUAGAUACUUCUAUUGCAG
rnacentral:misc_RNA from 1 species